UACGAAGGGGGCGAGCGUUGUUCGGAAUUACUGGGCGUAAAGGGCGCGCAGGCGGCUCUGAAAGUCAGAUGUGAAAGCCCCGGGCUUAACCUGGGAACUGCAUUUGAUACUCUGGAGCUUGAGUACGGGAGAGGAUAGUGGAAUUCCCAGUGUAGAGGUGAAAUUCGUAGAUAUUCGCAAGAACACCAGUGGCGAAGGCGGCUCACUGGCCCGGAACUGACGCUGAGGUGCGAAAGCGUGGGGAGCAAACAGG
rnacentral:rRNA from 1 species